ensembl:snRNA
AUAUUAUAUGAAAGGAGAGGAGGUUAGCACUCUCUUUGACAUGGAUGGGAAAGGCCCUUUGGCCAAACAACUUGCUUACAGUUAAGGCAUUGCCACCUACUUUGUGGCAUCUAGCCCCUGGCUUCA